rnacentral:lncRNA from 1 species
ACCAAGUCAAACGCGUGUCAAUGUGAAUUAAAACAAGUAAACACAAGGAAUGAUCAGGAUUAAAACGUGGAAGCAUGAUCCAAUGGCCAUGGAGGUAUACACGUGGUGAUGGUGGUGGAAACCACCCUCUUCUCCGGUGAACUAAGAAUCUCCGGCCACCAGUUGCAGAGAAUUUUUUUUUAACAAAAAUCGAAAAUAAGGACAUCAAAUUGAAGCUCGUGUGAUGUAAAUCACCACUGUAUCCAUGGAUCUCCC